rnacentral:rRNA from 1 species
AUUGAACGCUGGCGGCAGGCUUAACACAUGCAAGUCGAACGAGUGGCGGACGGGUGAGUAAUGUCUGGGAAACUGCCUGAUGGAGGGGGAUAACUACUGGAAACGGUAGCUAAUACCGCAUACCAUCAGAUGUGCCCAGAUGGGAUUAGCUAGUUGGUGGGGUAAUGGCUCACCUAGGCGACGAUCCCUAGCUGGUCUGAGAGGAUGACCAGCCACACUGGAACGGAGACACGGUCCAGACUCCUACGGGAGGCAGCAGUGGGGAAUAUUGCAAAAUGGGCGCAAGCCUGAUGCAGCCAUGCCGCGUGUGUGAAGAAGGCCUUCGGGUUGUAAAGCACUUUCAGCGAGGAGGCGUUACCCGCAGAAGAAGCACCGGCUAACUCCGUGCCAGCAGCCGCGGUAAUUC